CCUACGGGAGGCAGCAGUGGGGAAUUUUGGACAAUGGGCGAAAGCCUGAUCCAGCAAUGCCGCGUGCAGGAAGAAGGCCUUCGGGUUGUAAACUGCUUUUGUACGGAACGAAACGGUCCUUUUUAAUACAAGGGGCUAAUGACGGUACCGUAAGAAUAAGCACCGGCUAACUACGUGCCAGCAGCCGCGGUAAUACGUAGGGUGCGAGCGUUAAUCGGAAUUACUGGGCGUAAAGCGUGCGCAGGCGGUUAUAUAAGACAGUUGUGAAAUCCCCGGGCUCAACCUGGGAAUUGCAUCUGUGACUGUAUAGCUAGAGUACGGUAGAGGGGGAUGGAAUUCCGCGUGUAGCAGUGAAAUGCGUAGAUAUGCGGAGGAACACCGAUGGCGAAGGCAAUCCCCUGGACCUGUACUGACGCUCAUGCACGAAAGCGUGGGGAGCAAACAGGAUUAGAUACCCUGGUAGUCCACGCCCUAAACGAUGUCAACUGGUUGUUGGGUGCAUUAGUACUCAGUAACGAAGCUAACGCGUGAAGUUGACCGCCUGGGGAGUACGGCCGCAAGGUUGAAACUUCAAAUAGAGUUAGUAGGCGNGNGAGNGCGACGGACGACGACGAGGGAGGAGG
rnacentral:rRNA from 1 species